AUUGAACGCUGGCGGCAGGCCUAACACAUGCAAGUCGAACGGUAACAGAAAGCAGCUUGCUGCUUUGCUGACGAGUGGCGGACGGGUGAGUAAUGUCUGGGAAACUGCCUGAUGGAGGGGGAUAACUACUGGAAACGGUAGCUAAUACCGCAUAACGUCGCAAGACCAAAGAGGGGGACCUUCGGGCCUCUUGCCAUCGGAUGUGCCCAGAUGGGAUUAGCUAGUAGGUGGGGUAACGGCUCACCUAGGCGACGAUCCCUAGCUGGUCUGAGAGGAUGACCAGCCACACUGGAACUGAGACACGGUCCAGACUCCUACGGGAGGCAGCAGUGGGGAAUAUUGCACAAUGGGCGCAAGCCUGAUGCAGCCAUGCCGCGUGUAUGAAGAAGGCCUUCGGGUUGUAAAGUACUUUCAGCGGGGAGGAAGGGAGUAAAGUUAAGACCUUUGCUCAUUGACGUUACCCGCAGAAGAAGCACCGGCUACUCCGUG
rnacentral:rRNA from 1 species